GACGAACGCUGGCGGCGUGCUUAACACAUGCAAGUCGAACGAUGAAGCCGGAGCUUGCUCCGGUGGAUUAGUGGCGAACGGGUGAGUAACACGUGAGCAAUCUGCCCUUGACUCUGGGAUAACUGCGGGAAACUGUAGCUAAUACCGGAUACGACACCUUGGGGCAUCCCAGGGUGUGGAAAGAAUUUCGGUCAAGGAUGAGCUCGCGGCCUAUCAGCUAGUUGGUGAGGUAAUGGCUCACCAAGGCGACGACGGGUAGCCGGCCUGAGAGGGGGACCGGCCACACUGGAACUGAGACACGGUCCAGACUCAUGCGGGAGGAAGCAGUGGGGAAUAUUGCACAAUGGGCGAAAGCCUGAUGCAGCAACGCCGCGUGAGGGAUGAAGGCCUUCGGGUUGUAAACCUCUUUUAGCAGGGAAGAAGCGAAAGUGACGGUACCUGCAGAAAAAGCACCGGCUAACUACGUGCCAGCAACCGCCGUAA
rnacentral:rRNA from 1 species